ensembl:lncRNA
GGAAACUGUCACGAGAGUUAAGAGUCCAUCUGGAAGCUCGCUCCAAAACUUGACCAGGACAGACGGAUCCUGCUCCUCCCUCUUUUGUUUGUGUGUGUGUGUGCGUGCGCGCGUGUGUGUGCGCGUGUAUGUGUGUGUGUGUGUGUGUGUGUGUUGGGGGGUUUACCGUAGUGCAAUGUGUCUCCGAGGGUGAAUGCGUUGCUUCUAACGUGCGUCGAGGCCGCACACGGUGAUGCACCGCGAAGAAAAGCGCCCACGAACAGAAGAGUCGACGCACAUUGGAGGCCGAGUAGCGGCUCGCGACCGAAAUUUCACAGGACACGAGCGCGUCGAACGGGCGCCAGUUUUUUCCGAAGGGAAGAGAACAAAUGGCAUAACGCCUUUGGCCAAACCGUGGGAUUGAUUUUCUGUUUUGUUUUGUCCAUCUCGUGUGGUGGCUGCAUUGAUUUGAAGUAAUCAGUCGGCCAUGUUUUAUUUUACAACACGGCUCAUUAUGCGAAGUGACCGCCGGGAGGGCCGAUCAAUAGGUCACGACUUACCCUAAACUUUUCGCUGGAUCUUAAAGAGUGUUCUAGCGAAAGCGUUCUCCGACAACCUCACAGUCGUUCGUUUCUUAGCGGCGGCCAUUCCGCUGCGCUCCUGGUCUUCACCUGUUUGUCGUUUUGUCGUCACGCCAAACACUGCGUCGGUGUGCGACGGUGUGCGUCGUGGUAAAAUAAGCAGAUGGAGAAGGGAAGGGGGAAAAAAAGUGGGCGGGUGAGGUCAAUGUGUGUUUUUGAGCAUCCUCCGUUGCAGCAGGUCGACGGGGGGAGGGGAGGUUAGGGAGGAAUGUAGGGAGCAAGCCCCCCCCCCCCUUCGCCUUGUGCCUUCUCCUCUGUGUGUCUUUUCCUUUCUGUGUUGAGAUUAGGUGUCCCUGCUCCUGUGCGCGCGCCUCGUGUUUGGACCAUAAGGCAAGCGAGUAAAGAGGUUUGUUUGUUUUGAUGACUGUCGGUGGACCCUCCCCCUCCCCCCCGGUUGGGAAUGUUUAACCACACGGUCCAGUUUGCUGUUGCGAGGUGCAACGGGAGGACAUAAGUCAUUAUGUCCAAAAAAACGAAAGAGGACAAAACUCGUUCGGGUACAUGCUGCAAAUUCUUGUUUCAGGUGGAAGUGGUUUGUGGUGUAAAAGCCGGUGUGUCUGUGUGGAUUUUAAAAACAAAAUUAAAAAAAGGUGUUCUUUUGAUUUUUAGAAGAUGGAAAAGUGCAUUAAUGUGAUUGCACUCUUGAGGGGAAGGCAAAAAGGAGACCUCAGCCACUCGACUGUGUGAAAUUCUCCCCGAGUAAAGAACGUGACUUGUUUAGGCUUGCUUGCAAUGCUUGCUGGGAAAUCCUGGAAUGUGUGGAAUGGGGGACGGUGGUGCUUCUGCAGUUAUCUCACUGCGUAGAGCAGCAAGUACCCUGCAACGAAAACCCAACAUGUCAGCCGCGCUUUCUCCUCAGCCACUUCUUAAUGUGCAGAAAUACCGGCAUCUGCAUUUCAUUAAGUGCAUUAAAAGAAACUGCGCAGGAAAUGUUUUUGUUUCUUUCCUUUCGAGACGUGUCAUUGACCCCAUUGUCCUUGGGCGGAUGUGUUCUCGUUACACGGUAGUUAAUUACGCUUUUUAAAGGCACAGAUUGAUUCGCUGUUAGACGAUGGUUAAAAAGGAAAAACAAAACUGUCAUUCAAGUACAUGAUUUUUACGUAAAAUGUAUAUCAGUUAAAUGUGUUUUUAAUAAAAGUAAAUGUGGUUUAUGUGACAUUCCUCAUGAGGGACAAACCGCUGUUACUGUUCUCUGACACCC